UCUCAAGCGUGACAAGGGCAUCUGGUGGAUGCCUUGGCACUGGAAGGCGAUGAAGGACGUGGCACCCUGCGAAAAGUUCCGGGGAGAUGGGAGCAAUCUUUGAUCCGGAAAUGUCCGAAUGGGGAAACCCACCGCAUCUGUGGUAUCCACACCUGAAUUCAUAGGGUGUGGAAGCGAACCCGGCGAACUGAAACAUCUAAGUAGCCGGAGGAAAGGAAAUCAACCGAGACUCCGCAAGUAGUGGCGAGCGAACGCGGACCAGCCCAGUGGCUGCAGUGAAACAACCGGAAACGUCUGGAAAGGCGUGCCAGAGCGGGUGACAGCCCCGUACGGGUAAAAAACACUGUAGUCCUCGAGUAAGGCGGGACACGUGAAAUCCUGUCUGAACAUGGGGGGACCACCCUCCAAGGCUAAGUACUCUCCAGUGACCGAUAGUGAACCAGUACCGUGAGGGAAAGGUGAAAAGCACCCCAACGAGGGGAGUGAAACAGUUCCUGAAACCGGAUGCCUACAAGCAGUCGGAGCGGAAUUCCUUCGGGAAUGUCCGUGACGGCGUACCUUUUGUAUAAUGGGUCAGCGACUUACCGUAUCGAGCAAGCUUAAGCCGGCAGGUGUAGGCGAAGCGAAAGCGAGUCUGAACAGGGCGUUCAGUUCGAUGCGGUAGACCCGAAACCAGGUGAUCUAGCCAUGGUCAGGUUGAAGGUGGAGUAACACCCACUGGAGGACCGAACCCACGUCUGUUGAAAAAGACGGGGAUGAACUGUGGCUAGGGGUGAAAGGCCAAUCAAACCUGGAAAUAGCUGGUUCUCCGCGAAAGCUAUUUAGGUAGCGCGUCGGAUCUAUACCGCCGGGGGUAGAGCACUGGAUCGGGACGGGGGGCGCGAGCCUUACCAACUCGAACCAAACUCCGAAUACCGGCGAGUACUGUCCGGCAGACAGACGGUGGGUGCUAAGGUCCAUCGUCAAAAGGGAAACAGCCCAGACCGCCAGCUAAGGUCCCCAAGUCAUGGCUAAGUGGGAAAGGAUGUGGGACGGCCAAAACAACCAGGAGGUUGGCUUAGAAGCAGCCAUCCUUUAAAGAAAGCGUAACAGCUCACUGGUCUAAUUAAGCUGUCCUGCGCCGAAGAUGUACCGGGGCUAAAGCCAUGCACCGAAGCUGCGGGCUUGUCUAUGACAAGCGGUAGCGGAGCGUUCCGUAAGCCGGUGAAGGCAAACUGUGAGGUUUGCUGGAGGUAUCGGAAGUGAGAAUGCUGACAUGAGUAGCGACAAACAGGGUGAGAAACCCUGUCGCCGUAAGUCCAAGGGUUCCUGCGCAAGGCUAAUCCGCGCAGGGUAAGCCGGCCCCUAAGGCGAGGCCGAAAGGCGUAGUCGAUGGGAACCACGCUAAUAUUCGUGGGCCAGGUGGAUGUGACGCCCGUCGUAAAUCGUUGCUCCUUAUCGGAUUGAAGCAGCGGUGAAGACGGGCCAGGAAAUAACACCACCAACAAUGACCGUACCCGAAACCGACACAGGUGGACUGGUAGAGUAUACCAAGGCGCUUGAGAGAACGAUGUUGAAGGAACUAGGCAAAUUACUCUCGUAACUUCGGAAUAAGAGAGCCUCGCCCGUGGGCAACCACAGGUGAGGGGCACAGACUAGGGGGUGGCGACUGUUUAUUAAAAACACAGGGCUCUGCGAAGUCGCAAGACGACGUAUAGGGUCUGACGCCUGCCCGGUGCCGGAAGGUCAAGAGGAGGGGUGCAAGCUCCGAAUUGAAGCCCCGGUAAACGGCGGCCGUAACUAUAACGGUCCUAAGGUAGCGAAAUUCCUUGUCGGGUAAGUUCCGACCUGCACGAAUGGCGUAACGACUUCCCCGCUGUCUCCAACAUCGACUCAGCGAAAUUGAACUCUCCGUGAAGAUGCGGAGUUCCCGCGGUCAGACGGAAAGACCCCGUGCACCUUUACUACAGCUUCACAGUGGCAUCAGAUAUUGGAUGUGUAGGAUAGGCGGGAGGCUAUGAAACCAGGGCGCCAGCCCAGGCGGAGCCACCCUUGAAAUACCGCCCUUCCCGUAUUUGAUGUCUAACCGCGUCCCGUAAGCCGGGACCGGGACCCUGUGUGGCGGGUAGUUUGACUGGGGCGGUCGCCUCCCAAAGAGUAACGGAGGCGCGCAAUGGUUGGCUCAGAGCGGUCGGAAAUCGCUCGACGAGUGCAAGAGCAAAAGCCAGCCUGACUGCGACACCGACGGGUGGAGCAGAGACGAAAGUCGGUUCUAGUGAUCCGGUGGUCCCUCGUGGAAGGGCCAUCGCUCAACGGAUAAAAGGUACGCCGGGGAUAACAGGCUGAUACUUCCCAAGAGUCCACAUCGACGGAAGUGUUUGGCACCUCGAUGUCGGCUCAUCUCAUCCUGGGGCUGGAGCAGGUCCCAAGGGUAUGGCUGUUCGCCAUUUAAAGAGGUACGUGAGCUGGGUUUAGAACGUCGUGAGACAGUUCGGUCCCUAUCUGCCGUGGGUGUAGGAUACUUGAGAGGAGCUGUCCCUAGUACGAGAGGACCGGGAUGGACGUACCUCUGGUGUACCAGUUGUUCCGCCAGGAGCACCGCUGGGUAGCUAUGUACGGAUUGGAUAACCGCUGAAUGCAUCUAAGCGGGAAACCAUCCUCAAAACAAGGUAUCCCUUGAGAGCCGUGGAAGACCACCACGUCAAUAGGCCGGGUGUGAAAGCGUGGCAACACGUGAAGCUAACCGGUACUAAUCGCUCGAUAGGCUUUAGAGC
rfam:Haematospirillum jordaniae strain H5569, complete genome.